UGAGCAAUCUGCCCUUCUCAUCGGAAUAAGCGUUGGAAACGACGUCUAAUGCCGAAUACGACCUCCUUUCACAUGAUCGGAGGUGGAAAGCUCCGGCGGAGAAGGAUGAGCUCGCGGCCUAUCAGCUAGUUGGUGUGGGUAACGCCCACAAGGCGACGACGGGUAGCCGGCCUGAGAGGGUGACCGGUCACACUGGGACUGAGACACGGCCCAGACCUCCGUACGGGA
rnacentral:rRNA from 1 species